rnacentral:rRNA from 1 species
GUGAUUUUGGAGGGCAAGUCUGGUGCCAGCAGCCGCGGUAAUUCCAGCUCCAAUAGCGUAUAUUAAAGUUGUUGCAGUUAAAAAGCUCGUAGUUGAAUUUCGGGGUUAGUAGGUUGGUCAUGCCUCUGGUAUGUACUGGUCUCACUGAUUCCUCCUUCCUUAUGAACCGUAAUGCCAUUAAUUUGGUGUUGCGGGGAAUUUGGACUGUUACUUUGAAAAAAUUAGAGUGUUUAAAGCAAGCUAACGCUUGAAUACAUUAGCAUGGAAUAAUGAAAUAGGACGUUCGAUCUUAUUUUGUUGGUUUCUAGGAUUGACGUAAUGAUUAAUAGGGAUAGUUGGGGGCAUUAGUAUUCAAUUGUCAGAGGUGAAAUUCUUGGAUUUAUUGAAGACUAACUACUGCGAAAGCAUUUGCCAAGGAUGUUUUCAUUAAUCAAGAACGAAAGUUAGGGGAUCGAAGACGAUCAGAUACCGUCGUAGUCUUAACCAUAAACUAUGCCGACUAGGGAUCGGAUGAUGUUAAUUUUUUAAUGACUCGUUCGGCGCCUUACGGGAAACAAUCGAAUUCCCG